UACGUAGGGGGCAAGCGUUGUCCGGAAUCAUUGGGCGUAAAGCGCGUGUAGGCGGCUCGAUAAGUCUGUUCUGAAAGUCCAGGGCUCAACCCUGGGAUGCGGAUGGAUACUGUCGAGCUCGAGUCCGGAAGAGGCGAGUGGAAUUCCUGGUGUAGCGGUGAAAUGCGCAGAUAUCAGGAGGAACACCAAUGGCGAAGGCAGCUCGCUGGGACGUGACUGACGCUGAGACGCGAAAGCGUGGGGAGCAAACAGG
rnacentral:rRNA from 1 species